rnacentral:rRNA from 1 species
GGGCUCACACAAGCGGUGGAGGAUGUGGCUUAAUUCGAGGCUACGCGAAGAACCUUACCUAGGCUUAACAUGUUUGGGAAUCUCUAUGAAAGUAGAGAGUGCCUUUCGGGGAACCCUUACGUAGGUGCUGCAUGGCUGUCGUCAGCUCGUGUCGUGAGAUGUCGGGUUAAGUCCCUUAACGAGCGAAACCCUUAUCCCUAGUUGCCAGCGAGUCAUGUCGGGGACUCUAGGGAGACUGCCGGUGUUAAACCGGAGGAAGGUGGGGAUGACGUCAAGUCCUCAUGGCCUUUAUGCCUAGGGCUGCACACGUCCUACAAUGCAACAUACAAAGAGAUGCGAAAUCGCGAGAUCAAGCAAAUCCCAAAAAGUGUUGCUCAGUUCGGAUUGCAGGCUGAAAUUCGCCUGCAUGAAGCCGGAAUCGCUAGUAA